UACGAAGGGUGCAAGCGUUACUCGGAAUUACUGGGCGUAAAGCGUGCGUAGGUGGUUGUUUAAGUCUGUUGUGAAAGCCCUGGGCUCAACCUGGGAAUUGCAGUGGAUACUGGGCGACUAGAGUGUGGUAGAGGGUAGUGGAAUUCCCGGUGUAGCAGUGAAAUGCGUAGAGAUCGGGAGGAGCAUCCAUGGCGAAGGCAGCUACCUGGACCAACACUGACACUGAGGCACGAAAGCGUGGGGAGCAAACAGG
rnacentral:rRNA from 1 species